UACGGAGGGUGCAAGCGUUGUCCGGAAUCACUGGGCGUAAAGGGCGCGUAGGCGGCUCAUGAAGGCUGUGGUGAAAGUCCGGGGCUCAACCUCGGAUCGGCCGUGGCGACUCGUGGGCUGGAGCACUGUAGAGGCGGGUGGAAUUCCGGGUGUAGCGGUGGAAUGCGUAGAGAUCCGGAAGAACACCGGUGGCGAAGGCGGGUCUCUGGGCCGUAACUGACGCUGAGGAGCGAAAGCGUGGGGAGCGAACAGG
rnacentral:rRNA from 1 species